rnacentral:lncRNA from 1 species
CAAGGAACAAAUAGAGCAAAAUAUGCCCCCGCGCUUGCAAUAUGUAUUGCUCUUGCUCGAGAAUCUGUGGCUUAUGAACGUCGUUUCAUUUAACAGGGGAUGGGGCUCCAGCCCUAGGACGAGGAAACCAUAAAUAAUCUCUUUCAGCGUUAUCAGGACAUUUUCUUUGUGUUAAAAAAUAUCACGUCGUGGUCAGAAUAUCUAUACCUGUGUCGGCUGUGCAAUUACAAGGAGCGGUGGUGUUGCCUCAGGUCUGGAUGCGCCGAGGACGGACACGGGUGCCUUGCUGGCGACCAAGCUGCCUGCACAGAAAUGGGGCUGCCCGUAGCGGCAGUGCAGCGGAGCCUGACAGCCCGCCGGACUAUAAAUAGUAGGGGACGGGGAGAGGAGAGAGCUGCCAGACCUGGGUAAUCGGGGCGAGGUUCAGCCACCUUACAGCCAGCCUCCGAGGGACUUAAAGCCACAGCUCGGGCCGGAUCCUGCCGGAGAGCAGGGCUGCACCCAACGCCCGCCAUCCCUGCGGGCACCACCAUUGUCACACCUGAGUGGAAGUGCAUCCCCGCAAGGUUGGACCAAAAAAAAAAAAAAAAUAGUGCUCAUCCGUCCUUUGAUGUUCGGCGAUUUGAAAUAAAAGAGACCUGAGCAGGCA